AAACUAGGAUUAGAUACCCUAUUAUUAAUAGCCUAUUCACAGGGUUGGAAAAUACGAGCAACAGCUUAAACACCAAAGAAUUUGGCGGUGUCUUAACUAAUUAGGGGAACCUGUCCCUCAAAUCGAUAAUCCACGAAAGUCUUACCUAAUCUUGAAACUCAGUUAGUGUACUGCCGUCUUAAGUAUACCUUUAUGAGUGUAUACAACAAACUAUUAUCUCGUAAAACGUCAGGUCAAAGUGCAGCUUAUAGUUAGGCGGAGAUGGGUUACAAUCUUUAUAAAGAUCACGGAUAAAGUAAAUAAACUUGCUUUUGAAGGUGGACUUAACAGUAAUUAAGCAUAAAGUAAUGAA
rnacentral:rRNA from 1 species